rnacentral:rRNA from 1 species
CCUACGGGAGGCAGCAGUGAGGAAUAUUGGUCAAUGGACGCAAGUCUGAACCAGCCAUGCCGCGUGCAGGAAGACGGCUCUAUGAGUUGUAAACAGCUUUUGUACGAGGGUAAACGCAGAUACGCGUAUCUGUCUGAAAGUAUCGUACGAAUAAGGAUCGGCUAACUUCGUGCCAGCCGCCGCGGUAAUACGGAGGAUUCAAGCGUUAUCCGGAUUUAUUGGGUUUAAAGUGUGAGUAGGCGGUCGGAUAAGUUAGAUGUGAAAUCCCGGGGCUCAACCUCGGAAUUGCCUCUGAUACUGUUCGGCUAGAGAGUAGUUGCGGUAGGCGGAAUGUAUGGUGUAGCGGUGAAAUGCUUAGAGAUCAUACAGAACACCGAUGGCGAAGGCAGCUUACCAAGCUACUUCUGACGUUGAGGCACGAAAGCGUGGGGAGCAAACAGGAUUAGAUACCCCUGUAGUC